GCCACGGUGGUCUAGUGGUUAGAAAUCUGGCCUUGUAAUCCUGGGGUCUCGGGUUCGAUUCCCGGCGGUGCCC
rnacentral:tRNA from 1 species